GACAGAGGGGGCAAGCGUUGCUCGGAAUCACUGGGCGUAAAGGGCGCGUAGGCGGGAUGGCAAGUCGGUCGUGAAAUCCUUCGGCUCAACCGAAGAACGUCGGCCGAUACUGCCGUUCUUGAGGGAUGCAGAGGAGAUUGGAAUUCCUGGUGUAGCAGUGAAAUGCGUAGAUAUCAGGAGGAAUACCGAUGGCGAAGGCAGGUCUCUGGGCUGACACUGACGCUCAUGCACGAAAGCGUGGGGAGCAAACAGG
rnacentral:rRNA from 1 species